GCAGGUACAGGGUGCCCACAUUGGGCACAUCUCGCAGCAGCUUCUCGACUAUGGUGACGCCCACAAAGCCAGUUGCACCCGUAAUAAAAACAUUGCGACCCGCAUAGAAAUCUGCGAUGGGCGAGCUGCAUGGAUUCUCUUGCAUAAGAAAAAAACUUUCGCCACGUUCAAUAGUUGCUUUGAUUAUGACAACAAAAAUGCGCCUGUGCAGCAACAACUUCGUGUUGGUAGCGUACAUCAAGUUCGUCGCAUUUCUCCUAACGUAGUGCUCCAAUGUCCAAAGCUCAAAACUAGUUUCUUUAUAUGGUAAUGGCUAUGGGAUAUCAUAUAUGUGAGUUCUAUCUGCUGUCAGUCGGCUGCAAUAUUUAUCUAACUAACGACUGCUCCUAGGCGGCCUUUUAAUGACCUGUGGGCGUGUUGAUUUUAGCGUACAGAAAUAGCGAAACAAUCAAUGGCAAGUCUUAUGAUAUAAGUGGGAUCACAGAAGUUCAAACACUCGAAAUUUGUAGUACUAAUAAGGGAAUAUCAUGCCAUUAAAAAGCCUAAGCUAAAACUAAGUUGUGAAUAGUAGAAUAUUGCAUAUUAUAGAACUAGAAAAAAGGGUAUAUUGGAGUUGGCUUAUGUUAAUAUAGCGUAUGUGGCAUAUGUAUUUCUUUCUUCUCCUUUUUCUACAAGAUCAUGUUUUUAGAGUUAUGACAGUCUUCAGUAUGGGAUCGUAGUCUCCUGCGUUUUCUAUGCAUUAAACAUAUCGUGACAAUAUUAUAAUAACCUCUGCAACCUCUGGUAUAAUAACAAGACAAAUUCACACAAAUGAACAUCAAAGUUGCAUAUGUUAGUAGUAAGUAGGUCAUAUAAGUUUUAAGAUGCUCUGGAUAAGACCCAAGAUUUGUGUUUUUUAAAACACGCAACAGCAAUUUUAAUUAGCUAAUUUGGAACUCCGCUUUGUUUUUGGCCCUAAUGAUGCUCCAGUCGUUGUUUCUCCAACAUGUCUCCGGCUUGUCUACGCUGCGCUGGUCGUGGCAAAUGAUUUUAUAAUGAACAAAGCAAAUGAUUCGUGCGUAAUUUGCUUUUUGUUUGUUUGCUGUUUUUUCUUUAUUUAUUGUCUAUUGGCCCGCAAAUGGCAAUUGGCUGUUGUUGAUGUGUGCAAUCUUUAGCUAUAAUGGGCACUUGAUCAAUUUGCAUACUCUGUGCAAUUUUGAGGCCCUUGAGUUCAAAGCUCGGCCCACUGCCUGCAACAAAAUGCAAGCUGCUGCGUCACGGCAAAAGUUUUGAUGACCACUUCAGAUUCGGCUGAAACGCUUCGACUAGCUGUCAACCAAAUGAGGCUUUCACUUUGCGCCACACUCAAGUGACCGCCUGGCAGCUGAACCGAAACUUAAUUUGGCACUCACCUGUGCUUCUAACGUGGCAACAACUUAGCAUAAAUUAAAAUUGUUGUUGCGGUUUUGGCUUUAAAAAUUUGCAAAUUUAAUUUUUUUUUUUUCCACGCAAGCCCUUAGCCAAUUUACUACUGGCUCUUGAGUUUUGUUAACUUUUUAUUAAAUUUUUAUUUUUUUUUUUUUAACAUUUUGACGCUACAGUAAAUUGUGUUUUUAUCUUGAGUAGCGCAGUGCAGUGAUUAGAUUUUGGUUGAGACUUUCAAACUUGGUUAAGUGGAACACUUAUCUAUAGCAAUUAAUUGUGGGCGCUAUAAAUGGCACAAGUGCCAAGCGGCCACUGGAAGUUAGAUUUAUGCAAACAGGUCAGUUAUGUGGAAUAGUUGUAUUACAAAAAUGCAUUUCUCUAUUAUACUCAUUAAUUCCAUUUAUAAAGUUUACAAAUCGGCAGCUUAAAAAACGCAACUCCACGACACCAAGUCAUUCCGGGUUCGCACAUAAACAGGAGCCGCUAUUAACUGAACAACCAUCUGGACAGAACCGACCUUGUUGCCGUCCAUAGAGACAGGCCAAACAGACGGUUAUUAAUUGCUAUUUGUGGACAUAAUUGCUGGUAAUGGAGCUUCUUUUGACUGGGCAUCCAUAGGGAUUGGCCACCAUGGGGUUUAGCGUGUUUUGUAUUUUUCCACUAGAGUUCCUGCUUCAUUUAUCAACAACGCCUCCAAGCAGCUUGAGGGUCUAGCGAAAGAGAGAGAGAGAGAGAGAGAGAGAGGGAGAGAGAGAGAGAGAGAGAGAGAGAGAGAGAGAGAGAGAGAGAGAGAGAGAGAGAGAGAGAGAGAGAGAGAGAGAGAUGCUGCCAGAGCAACCAGUUCUCGUUUUGAACAAUUACCGCCAUUCAGAUUGCAGCAGAUGAUAUAUGUACAUAUAUCAAGAGCUUGCGCUUUAGGUAUUGCGCAGGUCAAAGUUUAAGCGGCGCAUGGAAUGUGGGUA